UACGAAGGGGGCUAGCGUUGUUCGGAUUUACUGGGCGUAAAGCGCACGUAGGCGGAUUGGUCAGUUAGGGGUGAAAGCCCGGGGCUCAACCCCGGAACUGCCUUUAAGACUGCAUCGCUUGAAUCCGGGAGAGGUGAGUGGAAUUCCGAGUGUAGAGGUGAAAUUCGUAGAUAUUCGGAAGAACACCAGUGGCGAAGGCGGCUCACUGGACCGGUAUUGACGCUGAGGUGCGAAAGCGUGGGGAGCAAACAGG
rnacentral:rRNA from 1 species